GCAGUCAUAGUGGACAAGGAAAGGUCAAUCUUUGUUUCAUCAGACCAGAGAAUUUUGUUUCUCAUGGUCUGAAAGUCCUUCACGUGCCUUUUAGCAAAGUCCAAGUGGGCUGUCAUGUGUCUUUUCUAAAGAGUGGAUUCCACCUGGCCACUCUACCAUACAGGCCUGAUUGGUGGAUUCCUGCAGAGAUGGUUGUCCUUCUGGAAGGUUCUCUCUCCAAAGAGGAAUGCUGGAGCUCUGACAGAGU